rfam:Serratia marcescens subsp. marcescens Db11, complete genome
CUAUUGCUUCAAAUCACUGAUUUUAAAGCAACCUUUCUGAACAAUGUAAUGCCAUACAUGUGAAUUGCUGUGUGUAGUCUUUGCCCAUCUCCUACGGUGGGCUUUUUUUUAU